rnacentral:rRNA from 1 species
UACGUAGGGGCCGAGCGUUGUCCGGAUUUAUUGGGCGUAAAGCGCGCGCAGGCGGCCUCGCGCGCCCGACGUGAAAGCCCCCGGCUUAACCGGGGAGGGUCGUUGGGGACGGCGGGGCUUGAGGGCGGGAGAGGGCGGUGGAAUUCCCGGUGUAGUGGUGAAAUGCGUAGAGAUCGGGAGGAACACCUGUGGCGAAGGCGGCCGUCUGGGCCGACCCUGACGCUGAGGCGCGAAGGCGUGGGGAGCGAACGGG